UCCAGGAUCGCGUUUUGCGUGAACUUUUUAGAUACCGAUCUACUUGAAAUAACACUUGUGAGAACAAGUCCACUUAAAUCAGAAUCCAAUGAAUAAUAAUUAUUUUAAUUUAUCUUGUUAUCAUCAUUUAGUACUACUCUGCAUAUGGUUCCAUAUAUUUUGGUCUCACGGACAUUAGCACAAGCACCUGAUGUUCUAGUACAAGAAAUGACCAAUUGAAAAUCAAUGAUUUUUUCUAGUAGAUAGCAACACUACAAAAGACCGUGGACGAAUGUUCAUUAGCAUCAAUUGUAAAAAUGGGAUGCCAAAAACACACACGGACGUUCGGUUGCACUAUUUGCAGCUGUCCAAGUACAGGCACAACGGCAGCUGUCAAGCAGACCAAGUGCAGUAGCAGCUCCCUUCCCAUAUCCAGUCGCCAGCUCCAUGCCUCCAUCUUAUCCGUCCCUCACAACACUGAUUGCAGCAGGGAGAGGAAACAACAAGUGCUGGUGUAGCUUGGCAGGAUAGAGAGAUGGCGACCCACACAGUGAGCACACAUAUCAAACUGAAAGAGGUCGCCUAGAACGUACUUCACAGUGAGCAUGCACACCCACACAUCCAUGUCCAGCUUGGCUUGGCCGGCAAGAGCAACAGAGGAGAGGAGCCGCUGUAGAGCCCAGGUGACCUCGUCGACUCCCUUAGAAGCCGGAGACUCGCUGUAGUGGUGCUGUGACUUGUGCUCAUACGAAGUUUCCUUCCAGGCAUGUAUCGGUGGAACUGCUAAAUUUUUUCUGUUGAACUGAUACAGACAAAUUGCCUCAAAUAUUUAUGGAAAUAUACUGAAGAAUGCUGCAGUUUUUUCCUGCAAGAAGUGUCGUUGUCCUCA